ensembl:snoRNA SNORA71 Small nucleolar RNA SNORA71
UCCUGUAUCGAAAGUGAUCAUGGCGUCCUUGUAGCCAGGUCAUUGAUAGUACAGGAAGAAUAACCUGCGGGCCUUUCCCGUGUUCAAAGGAUCCUCCGUUCCUCUUGAACCCUGGCGCUCUCAGACA